rnacentral:rRNA from 1 species
GUGAGGAAUAUUGCGCAAUGGAGGCAACUCUGACGCAGCCAUGCCGCGUGCAGGAAGAAGGCGCUACGCGUUGUAAACUGCUUUUAACCGGGAAGAAACCCCAGGACGUGUCCUGGGUUGACGGUACCGGAGGAAUAAGCACCGGCUAACUUCGUGCCAGCAGCCGCGGUAAUACGAAGGGUGCAAGCGUUAUCCGGAUUCAUUGGGUUUAAAGGGUGCGUAGGCGGAGCGUUAAGUCGGUGGUGAAAUCCUGCAGCUUAACUGUAGACUUGCCAUUGAUACUGGCGCUCUUGAGUGCGCUUGAAGUGGGCGGAAUGUGCCGUGUAGCGGUGAAAUGCUUAGAUAUGGCACAGAACACCAAUUGCGAAGGCAGCUCACUAAGGCGAUACUGACGCUGAGGCACGAAAGCGUGGGGAUCGAACAGGAUUAGAUACCCGGGUAGUCC